rnacentral:rRNA from 1 species
AACGAACGCUGGCGGCAUGCCUAACACAUGCAAGUCGAACGAAGGCUUCGGCCUUAGGGGCGCACGGGUGCGUAACGCGUGGGAAUCUGCCCUUUGCUUCGGAAUAACAGUUAGAAAUGACUGCUAAUACCGGAUGAUGUCGCAAGACCAAAGAUUUAUCGGCAAAGGAUGAGCCCGCGUAGGAUUAGCUAGUUGGUGGGGUAAAGGCCUACCAAGGCGACGAUCCUUAGCUGGUCUGAGAGGAUGAUCAGCCACACUGGGACUGGGACACGGCCCAGACUCCUAGGGAAGGCAGCAGGGGGGAAUAUUGGACGAUGGGCGAAAGCCUGAUCCAGCAAGGCCGCGUGAGUGAUGAAGGCCUUAGGGUUGUAAAGCUCUUUUACCCGGGAUGAUAAUGACAGUACCGGGAGAAUAAGCUCCGGCUAACUCCGU